rnacentral:lncRNA from 1 species
CACGAUUUGAAUGAAAAGUGAUAUAUACUAAUAUAGAGCUACCGUUUGAUAUAUACUGCAAAGCUUAGUUUUACUUUUGGCCAUACAUAGAGGUAGAAACUAGUCCAAACAUGAAUCAACAUGUCAAUGGGAAUGCCGAUUAUAAGACACACUUAACUUGGGUAAGUUAGAAGAAGCAUGAUAACUGUUAGCUUAAAAGAAACACUUAGCUUGGGUAAAGUUAGAAGAACCAUGAUAACUGUUAGCUAUCUUCCCAUAGUAAAAUUCAGUGUGACUUUCUCUAAAAUUUCCAUUUAUGUUGCAUUUUUCACUAGGCUGCUGUCUAAAAAUGAAUCAAUGUGUAAUAUAUCAGCUAAUACUCGGUCUGUAUAUAUUUUUUCUUUCGUCAAUUAAAUCUAUCCUUCCCUUUAUGUCUGCCACUAGGAAAUAAAAUGGUAAUAAAACAAAAAUCGCCAAACAUUGUCUUGAUUCGUUACAUUAACAAAUUGAAAACUAGAACAAGAGUUUGGAAUGCACAACGGCGUAAGGAUCACUUUAUAGUCUUAUGAUGAUUCGGUCCUUAAAUGAUUGUAGCUUAAAGUGUAAUGUCUGUUCCUGAUAAUAGCAAGAUUCUUUCCCAGUAUCCAUGUCCCAUACUCAUAGUGCUAUAUUGAAUUGGAUAUCAUAUCACUUAUCUCUACUGUCAAACGCAUAUUAGUUUGCCCGUAAGAUUUUUAGCCAGGGCCGGAAUAUCUGUCAAACUUCAACUGAAAGCAGGAGGGAAAGAAUUGCAUAUUCAACAUAAGUAAAGAUUCUUUGUGAACUUCAUAUUGGAAUUCAUAUGAUGGUAAGGCUUGUUGUGAUUGGACAAACGCGACGUUAAUCCUUGAUUACCCCUUAAACAUCCUUUAUAAUCUUGUUUUUGUUGGGCACGUGCAUAUCCUUUGCAAUUAUUGUUGGUACAUACUUUUUUUUUGUCCCUGGUAACUUAAAUCAUAUAGCAUAUAUCUAUACUAUAUAUGACCAUGAGGAAUGAAAUUCCAAUUCAUCAAGCAGUUACUUAGAGAAAUUGAUUUAAUAGUGUUUUAUAUCAUAACCCACGACGCAGAUUUCAGUGCAAAAAAGAAAAGAAAGCUCGAACAGCCUCACAAAUAUACAUAUAUACAGAUGAGAGGCUAAUUUACAGUGGGUCCCCAGCAGAUGAGAUUCAGGAGGUUCUCAGCCUUUUCAGCUUCCCUUGGCUUCUGUUUAUCACCUAAGCCAACCUGUUUGACGGGUCUCUGGUGCCUGAGACGCAUCUAACCUGAGAAGACUUUCCAGGUCCCGAUGUGGGCUUGUCGUGCAGGUGAUAAUUAGGCUUGGCCCCACCCAUGACCCUUUACAGAUAAGGUCUUUCACCCCUGAAUGGCUCUCACACAUUACACAUCCUGCGCAAAUGCCUUGAGCUCAUUCUUAAUGCUACUUGCAGUUGGGCUAGCUGGAACUUACAGAUGGAACCUUCUAUUGGAAUGGGGUAAGACUCCAUUAUGAGUUGUGAGCUUAUUAUAUGCUAGAGCGUGAAAACUGAAAAGCUCUGCUUUUGACUAGUCGCAUUCGGAGAUACAAAUAAGGGGUAUGCGCCAGCCAUUUGCUAACCGCCUAAAAUUGGUUGCAUUCCAGGGGCUAGCCACUUCAUAUUGUUAACCGCCGACGAUCCAUAAUUGCAUUUGCAUGGAUAAUUAUUAGCUUCCUCCCAUCACUCCUUCGAUU